CUCUUAUCGAGAGCGGCGGAGGGAUUAGGCCCGAUGAAGCCCGGCAACCUACAGGCAGUUUCUGCUUGGAAAGGUGCUACAUCCUACAGGCUCAAUGAGUCUGGAAGAUAAGAG
rnacentral:ncRNA from 14 species